AUUGAACGCUGGCGGCAGGCCUAACACAUGCAAGUCGAGCGGAUGAAGGGAGCUUGCUCCUGGAUUCAGCGGCGGACGGGUGAGUAAUGCCUAGGAAUCUGCCUGGUAGUGGGGGAUAACGUCCGGAAACGGGCGCUAAUACCGCAUACGUCCUGAGGGAGAAAGUGGGGGAUCUUCGGACCUCACGCUAUCAGAUGAGCCUAGGUCGGAUUAGCUAGUUGGUGGGGUAAAGGCCUACCAAGGCGACGAUCCGUAACUGGUCUGAGAGGAUGAUCAGUCAAACUGGAACUGAGGCACGGUCCAGACUCCUACGGGAGGCAGCAGUGGGGAAUAUUGGACAAUGGGCGAAAGCCUGAUCCAGCCAUGCCGCGUGUGUGAAGAAGGUCUUCGGAUUGUAAAGCACUUUAAGUUGGGAGGAAGGGCAGUAAGUUAAUACCUUGCUGUUUUGACGUUACCAACAGAAUAAGCACCGGCUAACUUCGUG
rnacentral:rRNA from 1 species